rnacentral:rRNA from 1 species
AACGAACGCUGGCGGCAGGCUUAACACAUGCAAGUCGAACGCCCCGCAAGGGGAGUGGCAGACGGGUGAGUAACGCGUGGGAAUCUACCCAGUUCUACGGAACAACUGAGGGAAACUUCAGCUAAUACCGUAUACGCCCUACGGGGGAAAGAUCUAUCGGAAUUGGAUGAGCCCGCGUUGGAUUAGCUAGUUGGUGAGGUAACGGCUCACCAAGGCGACGAUCCAUAGCUGGUCUGAGAGGAUGAUCAGCCACACUGGGACUGAGACACGGCCCAGACUCCUACGGGAGGCAGCAGUGGGGAAUAUUGGACAAUGGGCGCAAGCCUGAUCCAGCCAUGCCGCGUGAGUGAUGAAGGCCUUAGGGUUGUAAAGCUCUUUCAGUGGGGACGAUAAUGACGGUACCCACAGAAGAAGCCCCGGCUAACUUCGUGCCAGCCGCCGCAGUAA